rnacentral:rRNA from 1 species
AUUGAACGCUGGCGGCAUGCCUUACACAUGCAAGUCGAACGGCAGCACGGGUGCUUGCACCUGGUGGCGAGUGGCGAACGGGUGAGUAAUACAUCGGAACGUACCUUAUCGUGGGGGAUAACGCAGCGAAAGCUGUGCUAAUACCGCAUACGCCCUGAGGGGGAAAGUGGGGGAUCGAAAGACCUCGCGCGAUUAGAGCGGCCGAUGCCUGAUUAGCUUGUUGGUGGGGUAAAAGCCCACCAAGGCGACGAUCAGUAGCUGGUCUGAGAGGACGAUCAGCCACACUGGGACUGGGACACGGCCCAGACUCCUACGGGAGGCAGCAGUGGGGAAUUUUGGACAAUGGGGGCAACCCUGAUCCAGCAAUGCCGCGUGAGUGAAGAAGGCCUUCGGGUUGUAAAGCUCUUUUGUCAGGGAAGAAACACCAGCUCUAACACAGUCCGGGAAUGACGGUACCUGAAGAAUAAGCACCGGCUAACUACGUGCCAGCCGCCGCGGUAA